rnacentral:misc_RNA from 1 species
GAUGAAGAACGCAGCGAAAUGCGAUAAGUAGUGUGAAUUGCAGAAUUCAGUGAAUCAUCGAAUCUUUGAACGCACAUUGCGCCCUUUGGUAUUCCUUAGGGCAUGCCUGUUCGAGCGUCAUUUAAACCUUCAAGCUCAGCUUGGUGUUGGGUGACUGUCCGCUUCACCGCGGACUCGCCUCAAAAUUAUUGGCGGCCGGUACAUUGGCUUCGAGCGCAGCAGAAACGCGAACUCGGGCCCGUCGUAUUGGCUCCCAGAAGCUAUCUUCACAAUUUUGACCUCGGAUCAGGUAGGGAUACCCGCUGAACUUAAGCAUAUCAUAAGCGGAGGA